ACGCUCGACACCUACGGAGGCAGCAGUGGGGAAUAUUGCACAAUGGGGGAAACCCUGAUGCAGCGACGCCGCGUGGAGGAAGAAGGUCUUCGGAUUGUAAACUCCUGUUGUUGGGGAAAAAGAGGAUGGUACCCAACAAGGAAGUGACGGCUAACUACGUGUCAGCAGCCGCAGUAAUCUGAGCGGGCUGGCAAGGC
rnacentral:rRNA from 1 species